AAGGUAGUGUAAUUUAUUGUUAUAAAAUAUGGAAGCAUUUGUUUCAUUUAGUCUGUCACAUAAGAUAAAUUAUAGCGAUGCAUGAAAAACUAAGUCCACACUUGGAAAUAGUAUGAAAGUCAAACCCUGGGAAGACGGAAGUCUCUCAGCUAUGAUGAUAAGCCAGUGCCAAGUAUGCAGGACACUGAUACAACAAGGUCUAGAAAGUCAUAAUCCUCAGCAAAAUCUUACCAGCCUCCUUUGUUUGGUGUAAAUUUGGUGACAUAUCAGUGUAUGGAUUUAGUUUUUCUCAGUAAUGAUGAAGUAUUACGUUUCUUAUGACAAGGUUAUGGCGUGACACUGAAAAUUCUAAACUUUCUUGUUAAAAUCAGUCUCUUUAUUGAUCAGUACAUCAGUCCUUAAUAACUAACUAAUAAUAUAUGAAUGUGCCUUAAAUGGAGAAGGACAUUUGUGUCACUGUCACUAGUGGUGAGUUUUCUUCUUUCGCAAUUUGACCAACUAACCAACAGUUAGAUUCAGUGAGGCAUGUGCAUGGCAAGUAAAAUGUGUGUAAUCAUUAGAUCAUUUAAAGGUGGGGUAAGUGAUUCUGGAGAAAGAUUGUUGAUAUUUGAACUCAGCAGCCAAAUAAAUACACCCCUCCCUUUAGUGUUCCUUCAGAAGCUCCGCCCCCCAAAUUCAUGGACACGCAUUGUCAAGGCAACGUCACUAACAAAUGGGCAAUAUGGCAAAAUCUAGAGCGUCUACUGCCCGAGGGCAGAGGCAGAGGUCGGAGUGCAACUGGUUCCCGCAGCCUGGGACCUGGCGAGCACGAACGCCCCCUGUUGCUGAUUGGCUGGAAUAGUGUUGUGUGGCUUGGCCCGAGCCACUUUGUUUAUUUCCCAUUUACAGAGCCAGGGCUGUGCACAAAUCCAGAUUUUUUUCAGCGUACAGAAAGAACAGACAACUAGCGGAGAUGGAGAUUUUAAAAAAAGAGGAGAUAUUCACUGAAUUUGAAAAAAAAGUGUAUUGGAUUAGAAUCGGACCAACAACUGACACAUGACCUAAUCUUGUAUUUUCUUUAAGUAGUCUGAAUAGUCAUAGUUCAGUAUGAGUCUGAAAGUAUCCUGGGAAUUGUUAGAGGGAGUGAAUGCAAUACACCUCAGCAACUUUUGCUCACCAAAAUGGAAGCAGAAGACAGCAGCAACACCAACACCUUCACUAACUUCUACUUUAUUUACCGCAGGCAUUUACACAGGUGGCUACUAUUGUUUAGUACACCAGUUACAGUGCAGUGGAAGAGGAGUAGACAUUGUAGAUCACUGAGGACAAGCAAUGACAUCCACUUUUAACCCUUUAUUUAUGGUACACUCCAUAAAUUAAAUGUCACAUCACAAGUCAUAACUAAAUAGGAGAUUAAAUCAGAAAAGAAAAGAAAAGUUUCAGCUCCAGCACAGAUGACACAGGAAGUAAAUUGGCAAACAUAUUGAGAAAGACUAGAAAAAACAUAAUGUAUUAUUUCACUAAACCCAAAAUUUGUGACCCCCCUCUCUUUAGGCUUUUGACUAGCUUAGAGAGUACAAAAGCAAAAGCACGUUACUAGCUUGCAAAACUGAUGUGAGACAUGCUACAUGCCCAGCCACCACCCAACCACCUUGACCAUCCUUUACAUUCUGCCUUACUACAUAUGGGGCACACUACUUUCUGCAUUGGCAAUAAAAUUGCAGAGGGGAACCGUACCACCCCUGGCCAUCCCUCUGGCCCCGCCCCAUUGGAGUCUCACUACACAGUAAAGAGACAUCUUUUCAUGGCCAGAAUGGACAAGAGGAAUGAUUAAAUCGAGCAAUAACUUUUUCAAUGUAACAGAAGCUGCUCUGAUAAUGGCGUUAAAUGUGACUUGUUUAACCCAGUUAGAUGACCCGACAGUAUGUCCACAAUCUCUGCAACACUGGUGA